UCCGUAGGUGGUUUGUCAAGUCUGUCGUCAAAGAAUGGAGCUUAACUCCAUAAAGGCGGUGGAAACUGAGAGACUAGAGUUCGGUAGGGGUAGCGGGAAUUCCCAGUGUAGCGGUGAAAUGCGUAGAUAUUGGGAAGAACAUCGGUGGCGAAAGCGCGCUACUUGGCCGAAACUGACACUGAGGGACGAAAGCUAGGGUAGCGAAAG
rnacentral:rRNA from 1 species